rnacentral:rRNA from 1 species
GAUGAACGCUGGCGGCGUGCCUAAUACAUGCAAGUCGAGCGAACAGACGAGGAGCUUGCUCCUUCGACGUUAGCGGCGGACGGGUGAGUAACACGUAGGUAACCUACCUAUAAGACUGGGAUAACUUCGGGAAACCGGAGCUAAUACCGGAUAAUAUUUCGAACCGCAUGGUUCGAUAGUGAAAGAUGGCUUUGCUAUCACUUAUAGAUGGACCUGCGCCGUAUUAGCUAGUUGGUAAGGUAACGGCUUACCAAGGCAACGAUACGUACCCGACCUGAGAGGGUGAUCGGCCACACGGGAACUGAGACACGGUCCAGACUCCUACGGUAGGCAGCAGUAGGGAAUCUUCCGCGAUGGGCGAAUGCCUGACGGAGCAACGCCGCGUGAGUGAUGAAGGUCUUCGGAUCGUAAAACUCUGUUAUUAGGGAAGAACAAACGUGUAAGUAACUGUGAACGUCUUGACGGUACCUAAUCAGAAAGCCACGGCUAACUACGUG